AACCGACAGAGAAAAAAGUAGACAGGAGACAGAGUGACGCUUGCUUACAUUGUCAGAUACCUGGAUCCAGUCACAGCUUUGGACUUCUCUCAUGAACUCUUCAGAUUCAGACAGCUGGCGAUCAUGGAAAGCUUCAAUUACUUACAUCCAGACAAGAAUAUCUUUUAAUAUCUUCUCCAGGUACAGUUAAUCUUCAGGUCCCUGGAGUGCUGCUGUCCAUGAGGUCCUGAAGAGUCAGAAAUGACUGAGCAACUGAUCAAUGACAAUCGUCAGUUCAAGAGUAGGUUUAUUUUCAUUUCUCUAAGAUUAACAAGCUACAACAUGCAGUGCCAGUUCAACAAGGAUAUAUAAAACUACACCCAACCAUGGAAAAUAUCACUCACCCUUAGAUGGACACCACUUUAUGGACUCUGAGGCUUGAGACUAAGAAGGGGAGGCCCAAUGCCCCUCGCUGUCCCAGGUCAGCAGGAAAUAGCCAGAAAGACAUCUAUGCCCCUGUUCCUAAAGAAUUGGGCCUCCAUCUCUUGAGGGGGAAAUGUUAGGUAGUUAGAAUAGGAAAAAGGAGUCCAUAAUGGUGGUGCCUAAAAGAGAAAGAAAGGAAAAGCCUGCAAACAGAACAAAGGAAGGUCCAAGGACCUGUGUGAGAACCUCAGGGAAAACAGACAGCCCUCCUGGCUGUCCAAUUUACAUUAGGCAGGCUCAGGGGGAGGAGAAAAAACAUAUACAGAGAGGAGCCAAAACUGAGCUGGGGGCUUUUCUUUGUGUCUUUUGGGUCAGCCUGCCCUCAAGCCUUGAGGGUGUAUUUUCCUUUGCUUGUCAAAUAAAACUGAGCUGUAAUA